CAAGGACACAAGCAACGUGGAGUGCCAAGUUGAUGAAGAAAAAAAUCAGAAGAGGGUUUCAGACAUGGGAGACGAAUAUGCCGCUUCUACAUCUUCGAGUUGUCAGAUUGAUCUAUGGAAGUAAGCAAAAAGAGAAGACUUUAUCAUAUAAAUGCAUAUAUACAUAUAUCUAUAUACGUACACGCGAACACUAAUCAAGUGUAGAGAUGAUGAUGGUACAGAUUUAUAUUUUGUUUGAUUGAUUCUUACUACAUUAUUGAACUUAUAUAUGUUAUAUGAAUAUGUACAUGGCGUAUCGAUGCAUACAUACUUGUACUCGAUAUGAUUAACCAUAUAUACUCUAAUCUAAGUCAUGUAACUCCAAUAUUUUCUAGUAAACAGUUGUACCUUAAUUAUUAUUUGUCAUAUUCUCACUGUACUAUAUAGACAACUCAAUUUGUUCUUUAGAAGUGCACCAUAUUAAAGUUGAAAAUCAAGAUUCUUGAAUUUCAUAUUCUGGACAAUAAUGCUUGAAUUAUGUAUUUAUUAAACAUGUCCAAUAGUAUUAACACACAAUCUACAAGUCAUAAGUAUAUAUAGCAAAUUCAGAAUAUGUAUUCAAAUAAGACAUGUGGUCUGACCACUUACCGGAGUUGUGUUUAUGGGGAUAAUAACCCCAAGGAAGCUUGAAGGAUAUGUAUAACCAUAAAUAGUGAAAAAUAAAAUGGAGAAGAGAAUGUGGCUUGAAG
rnacentral:lncRNA from 1 species